rnacentral:rRNA from 1 species
AGUGAACGCUGGCGGCAGGCCUAACACAUGCAAGUCGAACGGCAGCACGGCAGUAGCAAUACUGUGGGUGGCGAGUGGCGGACGGGUGAGGAAUACAUCGGGAUCUACCCUGUUGUGGGGGAUAACGUAGGGAAACUUACGCUAAUACCGCAUAAGAACUGAGGUUGAAAGCGGCGGACCGCAAGGCGUCGCGCGAUUGGAUGAACCGAUGUCCGAUUAGCUAGUUGGCGGGGUAAAGGCCCACCAAGGCGACGAUCGGUAGCUGGUCUGAGAGGACGACCAGCCACACUGGAACUGAGACACGGUCCAGACUCCUACGGGAGGCAGCAGUGGGGAAUAUUGGACAAUGGCGCAAGCCUGAUCCAGCCAUGCCGCGUGGGUGAAGAAGGCCUUCGGUGUAAG